rnacentral:lncRNA from 1 species
UUUUAAAAUACUUGUGUAGUUGGUGCACGGCCAAACCUAGACAAAUAUUGAGGAAAAUGAAGCUUGGAGGUCGAGCUUGGAGAGGAGAAAGCUUAAGUAGUGUGGCUCAGGCAUUUCAUCGGACACCUCAUGUGUAUGCAUAGAAGGGUGGCAAAGAGCAUGACAAUCACACCUCAACAACCAACAAACAGAGGAGAGGAUGGGCAAGGGCGAGGGUAUAUAUAUGCAAAACUUUAGUCCCGAUUUUUGUCUAAAACCAAGACUAAUAGCCUACCAUUUAGUCCCAUUUUUUGUCCCGAACCAGGACUAAUGCUCCGCGGCACGCCACGUGGCAGUCGCUGGAUCUUUAGUCUCGGUUUUGUCCUGAACCGGGACUAAUGAGAUGAACCGAACCGGGACCAAUGGCCUGGCAAACUGAACCGGGACCAAUGCCUCGUAUUGGUCCCGGUUUUACUUCGAUCCGGGUCUAAUGUGGUUUUGUGCUACGGUUCAUAGUCUCUUUUUCUACUAGUGCUCACUCAUGGUAGAAUUAAAAGCUCACGACAGUUGGCAUGUGAUGUUCUGUUAAGGUAAUGAUGGUAUAUGGGCCACCCACAACAUUUGUCACUUGCUGACUUCCUAUAAAUAACCAGUUUCAUCCCAUGCAGUAGGAUAACAUUUAGUUGCAGACAAAGACGCUGAGCAACGACGCUGAGCAACGACGCUGAGCAGGGUGAAUGGCAGAGACUCACACAAAAGUUCGAUCCUGUGUGGAAUGGGAUGUAUCAGAAUAUUAAGCCAAUGAUGAGUAAGAACACAUUGUUCAGAGUGCAAUGAUGAAGCUAGUAAGCAGAGAGAAAUUUGUGUCUAUUUUUGCUUUAGUGGCUUAAACAACAAGGCUCUUUGCUCAUAAGGUGUGAUUCCGCCUACCGGCCUUGUAGAUCCAGCUUUCAUCACAGAAGUGACACGUGCUUAGUGUUGGACACAGGUCCGACUCGACGAGUACUUUCCGUCUACACAAACUCGUAUGCGGCAGCCACAGAGAGCAAGNN